ACUAUUCCAUUGUGUGGACAUAACCACAUUUUAUUUACCCAUUCAUUCGUUGAUGGACAUGUGGAUUGAUUUUACUUUUAGGCUAUUAUGAGUAAUGAUGCUAUGAAUGUUUGUGUACAAGGUUUUGUGUGGGGCAUCUACUGUCAUUUCUCUUGGGUAUACAUACCGUGGAGUGGGAUUGCCGGGUUGUAUGGUAACUCUACGUUUAACCUUUUGAGGAACCAUCAGACUGGUUUCCAAAGUGGGCUGGGUCACUAGAUGUGCAUUAGUUGUGUCUUUAUUGUUGAAUAAAACAUGUAUUAAUGUUCCUUAAUAAUUUUGUCUCUGGUUGGCCCUGUGUAGAAUUCUUAAGUAGCGAUUUGCAGUGGAGUUAAACAGUUACUUUUAGAAAUAAACAGAUAGUGAAGUUGGCGUUAGAUUCCAUGGGUGAUUAGGAGAAUCACUAUUAAACCUUUAGAUGAUAAGGAGACCCUACUGAUGGUUGUUAAAGCUUCUUACCAGAUCAGAUAUGUUGAGUUGUCCCCCGUUUACAAAGUGAGUAUGUUCUCUUAAGUUGGAGCACACUAGUGAAUCUAAUUUGCAGAGGCACAAAGGGACUUCUUGAGUUAAGGUUACUCCCUUGGAUCUUUUCCUUUUGUGAUGUUUUAUAAGGCAGAUGGAAGUUUGGUCUUACUCCUGAUGAUUCAAGAGCAGGACUUUGCUCCCUAUGGUACAGAGUUUGGGAUUUCACAAGUAAAUGCUUCUCUCCCCCUGAUUCUGUGGGAUUCUUUAGUCUCCCUUGACUUAGGAAUGGCCACUUCAGUGUCCAUUCAUCUGGCUGAGUCUGUUUGUCCUCCUCGCCUCUCUGUCUUCAGACCCUCAGUUAAUGGUGGUGGCGGGCCAUCAUGUCCACCGUCACCGUUUUUCUUCUGUCUGUGAUACAAGUUGAAGUUCAGAGUGGAAUAUUUCUGGGAAGGGGCAAAGGAAAUUUUAGAAAGGGUGUCUUAAUUUUUCCCACUUAGUUUCAGGAAAUAAAAGGGGAUUGGAUGGGAGGAGGCCCCGAAAGAAAGGUGUAGCUUACCAAAAUCUCCGGCGUGCUGGGAAUGGGCUCCUCGGGGGGCCAGGCUUCUAGGCUUCAGUAGUCCGCAGAUCUUCGGGAAGUGAUCCUGUGUAAAAUGCGAAGUCCUCUACCUCCAGAUCUUUGAGGCCGUGUGGAGAGUACUGCAGGUGCCACACUGCCACAGUCACUGGCUUGGAGAAUUCUUUGUUGGUUUUCUGCCAAAAACAUUUCUGUGCAAAAAUUUUUCCCACUGUGCUUAUGUACACUGAAUUUCAUUUUCUUGUAAAGUCAAUAUGUAAUCAAUCAGCAGGUACUUAUUGGGCACCAGCUGAAUGCGAGACAUUACACGACACUUGGUGCUGCGAUCCAGAGGUAGGAUUGCAGGAGGCUGUUCUGUAUGAUGGUGGAACGUUCUUAUACAGCUAUGGGCAAAGUAGAUUGAAAAGGAGGGAUUAUUUUACUCUGUGGUAUAUAGGUAAUUAUUUAUGAUGCAUUUCUUUGGAGCAGGUGUUCCCAUUUGAAAUGUUUUCACUUUACAUAUUUCCUGUAACUGAGAAAGGCAGGGGGAAAUAUUCCAUACAGGAGAAAUAUUUCAGAGUAUAUUGCUUGCUGCACCUGUGGCAAAGAUCCAGCAGGCAAAAUGUAACUUCUUUGUGACCGGCAACUCUUCAAUCAGAGAGAGGCAAGAGCUAGUUUCUAAUGUUGAAUAGAAAUAAAUGUUUGGUGACUUUCAACUGCAUGGGUAGAAUUAAUAGGAAGUUAUUAUUGUUAACACAGUAUUCUGGAUCAUGUUAUCAAAGAGAAAAAAUGAACUUCUUUAUCCGUCUCUUACCAAAUUAAAUGGUCUUUGCUAACUUGGGUCUCAGGGACAUAAUUUAAGACACUAAAAAUGUCCCCUUUAUCUGGGUUGUCUUUUUCUGUUACUCAAGCCAAGACUGGACUGCCAUAGCUCCUUGGAAAAAGAAAUAAACUCUUUUAUUAUUUUUAUUAUUCACUGAUUUCUUUCCAUCCUGGAACUCUUAUUUUAUAAAAAUUUUGAAUCGUAGCUACUUACUGAACAGUGGCUUUCAGGAGAAGAGGGGGAAACUCCCCUGAAUUUCACUGUCAAGUAAGGCUGUGUGUCAGGAAUCCAAGAGGCUGUCUGUGGUUAGAGGCUCGUGGCUCUUAAACAAUGGAUUUCCACUUUUCUUGUAUAUAAGUUAGAGGAAUAUAAGAAAUGAAAUAUAGGACUGAGUGUUAUUGGAUGGUAGCUUAGAAUCUUAUAAGUUUUGCCUUGGCAGGUAAUUUGGCAUAAAUUGUUAAUGUAAAUCUGGGUUAGUGGUGAAGACGUUAUUUUAGUAAAAAAGAUAAACUGCUGAUUAAUUCAGCAUAGAACUCAAUUACAAAUUGAAAGUGUCUCUGCGGGACUCCCGGACCCUAAAGACAGCAGAUGUUGAAUUGAUACUCCAGCAUAUUUCACAGUGGUAUGAAAUAUUAACAUGGUUUAUUAUACUUGUGUGGUGUGUGAUAUCAGACAGGGGGAGAGGUGGUGGGCUUGUGGGUGUGCAAAGCAGCCAAACAUUACACAUUCGCUCAUAUACACUCAGUGUGAUUAAGAAUUUUAGGAAAGUUUCAUCUUUUUUUUUUUUUUUUUUUUUUUAAAUGAAA